AUACGUAGGCUCCGAGCGUUAUCCGGAUUUAUUGGGUUUAAAGGGUGCGCAGGCGGCCAUUUAAGUCAGCGGUUAAAUCGUGGGGCUCAACCCCAUUCUGCCGUUGAUACUGGGUGGCUUGAUGGCGGGCGAGGUUGGCGGAAUUCGUUGUGUAGCGGGUAAAUGCAUAGAUAUGACGAAGAACACCGAUUGCGUAGGCAGCUGACCAGACCGCAAAUGACGCUCAUGCACGAAAGUGCGGGGAUCGAACAGGAUUAGAUACCCUGGUAGUCCGCACAGUAAACGAUGAAUACUUGUUUUCGGCGAUAUAAUGUCGGAGGCAAAGCGAAAGCGAUAAGUAUUCCGCCUGGGGAGUACGCCGGCAACGGUGAAACUCAAAUGAAUUGACGGGG
rnacentral:rRNA from 1 species